rnacentral:ncRNA from 1 species
CGAAUCCCGCCUGGGUAACUGCUAGCCACAGGCCCAGUAUUGAGGUUUGCAGUCAGUAGUAAGGUAUAAGGCGGUUCGCCGCCGAAAUCACUGAUUGAUGCGUAACCACAAAAGGUAGUGAGGGUGAAAGGUAUCGGCUGGCUGCCGAACCCUGAACGAGAUUGAGCUCCGAAAACAUGGUUUCUGUUGGAUACUGCCCACGGUCUGUGCAUGCCCGAAGGCAACACUUGCGGUCGCGCCUUGGCGAGCGACUGCGAGAGUCCCGGAGUCGAAGAUCC